UCGCUGGCACAGGUUCGGUGUGAUGGCGCAAGUGUCGUGCGUCUGGAGAGGUCUCGACCAAGAUUCGGUACCUUUUAACUCCCACCUGAUAUCUGCGUAUCAGGGCAUCCCGCUUUUCCACCAGUUCCCCAAGGACGUUGCUCCCCUGACUAGUCCCAGAGGCGCAGUUUUGGUCUGAUACUGCAUCCUUACCUUUAUUAUUGCAUCCCCCACUCACCUCUUUAGAUCUGACGUUGUGGUCUUUCCUGGGCUGUGCCUUGGGUGCCCACAGUUGGGAGAGCAAGGGCACAAGAUGCCAGGGAGCCAGAGCUCUGCCGCAGGCUAUGAGUAGGAGCCUGAGAUGGUCUGAGCACCUCGAUGCGCUUCUCAAUGCUACUGACGGAAAUGUGGCCACGAUUAAGGUGAGGGGGCGCCUGAGUCCCCCGCCCUCUGGUUUAGGGGCUGUGGGUUAAGGGACUGCAAGACAGAACUCAUUGGCCUGUGCAUUUGUUUUUUUGUAGCAAAGGCUGUAUCCCCUUGGAGUCUCCACCACGGGUAUUGUUCCUUUUUCUACCUAUCCCUCAGCCUUUUCUCCUUCCAGAAUCUGCCUUUUUCCAGUGCCUAUGCCGUCCACUAGUCCUUGCAAAUUCCAGCUUUUUAUUUUCCUGAACAAACAUUUCACCCCCCCCCCCCCCCCCCAAUAGGCUUUGCACUCGUCCCUUCCUUAUUCCCUCAGCAGGAGACCUGACUGGGACCUGGAUUUCCCCUCAUUACUUGCCUCCCCAGUCAGGAGUCCAAGCUCAACAGCCUUGGGCUCUAGAGACUCCCAUUGUCCCAGAGAGACUAAGUUGGGCUGAGGCCCGUAGUGCAUCUUCUCUCUGGGAUGAAUUUACUAUUCUUCGAUCCCAGCUUCGAUCCCAGGCUCAGGUGAGGCAUGGAAUCCUAGGUGACUGAAGCACUAAGGCAGGCUGUGCAGGGCCUGCUGGAAGAGCGAGAGCAGCAGAAGUACCAGAUCUCUGCCCUAGAAGCAUCACUAAGGUUGCUGCAGGGGGGCCCAGAGCAAAGGGUCCUUCUCCUGGAGCAACGCCUGGAGGGGCUGAGAAGGGAACUGCAGGGCCUUCGAAGCCAGGUACAGGAACAGGCGUGAGCCCAAAUACAAACAGGACCACGAAAGUGCAGUGCUACCAGUGGCCUUCACCAAGAGCUGCAGAAUGAGCUGCAACUGCUGUGGGAGGAGUCAGAGAUUCUUUGGGAGGAAUUGAAGUUGCUGCAGGACCAGCUGAGCCAGCACCAGGAGCUGCUGCUGAAACAGAUGACUGAGGGGCGGCAAGCUCAGGCCCACAGCUGGAAGAUCUCCAGAGGCAUACCCUUUCUAACCUGCAGCCCAGCAGCUUUCAGCUCCAGGCCCAGAGCCCUAUACUUUAAGGGCCCCAAGAUGCUCCUGAGUGACUGUAAUGACUUGUAAGAGCAGUAGGAUGAUGUCUUCUUUGCUCACCUUCCCCUCCAAGGUCCUGUUUCUGGGUCCCCUUCCCCUCCCCUCUUGAUCUAGCUGGUGUUUGCCCUCCCUACUGAGGUUUGUCACUGCCUGUCCAGCCUUACCCACAAGCAAUAAAAUGGUUUA